rnacentral:misc_RNA from 1 species
ACGAUGCGCCGGCUCAACAGAACGAGUGUUUUAGGCUCAUCGCUUCACCAGCCACCACCCCGACAGAGACCGCCACCGUUGUCAAGCAUGUUGGGUGCACCGAGUCCGGCAGCAGGCGAAUUCAGACGCCGUCUUGCACGGCUUCAGGGGGUGAAGGGCGGACUAGGCAGCAGAGGCACUAACGGGCCGAAGAUCCUGGCAGCCCUCUCCGCGCCGAGGGGCAGCACCAGCCGCAACAACAUCUGGAACUCGGAAGACAGGGCCGCCCGUCGGAUGGUCUGGCGAUCGACCGUACAAGAGACGAUAAUGAGCUGCUCACAGGGGCGGAAGCUUGCCACGCGGGAAGACGACAUGCCACGGAGCUGCCUUUUCCUCUGCUAGAGUGCAUGCCAAUGCAGCCGGGUCGACCGGAUGAUGUGCAUAUGUUGCGCACGACGAGAAUGAGCGCAGCCAACACACCGUCUUCAGGACCUUUCCGGUGUAGACAUGGAAAGAGCGAUCCUUCGCUAUCAAACUCCGGGGGGGUCUCUCACACCCCCACGCAGGUGUGCCGGGCCGCGGCGCUCGGGCUAGAAGGCGCGUAGGUGCCGACAGUGGUGGAGGGAGGUUCAAGGCCACAUUCCCACAUCAGAAGGAAGUGUACCGAACGUGACGUGGCGAAGCGGAAUCUGCGCGAGGAUGCAGGAGGGAGAAAGCGAGUCGCUGGACAGCGCGCGACUCGGGGGAAGUACACGCUUCUUCUCUCUCUUUCCAGCUCCUGCGCGCGCAGCCGGCGGGGGGUCAGGUCUGAAAAGCUGCGACGACAUCCCACCCGCCCAACCUGUGAUCAUCGCUCUCUAUCGCUUUCACACGCCUCCCCGUUUUCAGUAGCGGCCUUGUACGCCACGAUGCACAUUCAGUAUUCGCUAUCGGCACCUGUAUCUCUUCAGCUCCAUCUGCUACACUCGGACAAAAAAAAUCAGGCGCCGUAACUCCCUUUCUUCGACCUCCCGUCUUUCCCCCUAUCGCUUCGCUCGUCUAUGAGGCUCUACUGC